rnacentral:lncRNA from 1 species
GUUAGAGUUCUUUUCAUCAUUGUCUUAAACAAGUCUGAGUUACAGAGUUGCGGCGUGUGUCUGUUCGUAAUCUAUUUUUUCACUGGUGAACUCUUCAUCUCCCUAUCUUAAAUCGCUUGAUCAUAAAUGUUCCUGAUUUGUAGUUCUUCUCGAAACCCUAUAUAUAUGAUUCUCAUCUUUGAUGAACCCAAUUUGCAUCUCCACAAAACUCAUUUAUUCCUCUUAGCUUUAACCAGCUUCUAGAAAAUGUCUCUUUCUGCCUCUCCAGUUCCUCAAAUCGGCAUCCCCGGCG